CAACUAAGCGCAUACGGUGGAUGCCUUGGCAGUCAGAGGCGAUGAAGGACGUUGUAGCCUGCGAAAAGCUUCGGGGAGUCGGCAAACAGACUUUGAUCCGGAGAUGUCCGAAUGGGGAAACCCACCCAAUGUAAGUUGGGUAUCCUUAACUGAAUACAUAGGUUAAGGAGGCGAACUCAGGGAACUGAAACAUCUAAGUACCUGAAGGAAAAGAAAUCAAUUGAGAUUCCCCCAGUAGCGGCGAGCGACCGGGGAGAAGCCUGCAAGUAAUAGCAGUGCGGUUAGUGGAACGGUCUGGAAAGUCCGGCGAUAGAGGGUGAUAGCCCCGUACACGAAAACUGCGUUGUGGUACUGAGCUUGCGACAAGUAGGUCGGGACACGUGUUAUCUUGACUGAAUAUGGGGGGACCAUCCUCCAAGGCUAAAUACUCCU
rnacentral:rRNA from 1 species